UCUAGAAAUUUCAGGACCUUACUAUCUAGUCUCAGACAAUUACCAAAUAUUUUGAAAUGGACGGCUUGAAUACCACAGACAGUGGCAUCUGGAGUUCUACGGGAAAGAUGGACAGACCAAGGAAGAAAAAUAAUUUCUCUGCAGCCAACUAGAGGAGCCUCAGAGAACAGCAAUCUCUAUGACAAUCUUCAAAAGCCACAACCAAGAAGUUCACUCCAGUAGCACUCUGAGAGUUGUGAUGGCUCAAUUUUACCUGUCACUGUGACUGGGGUAACGGGAUGCCUAAAGAGCAGGCUUUUGGAUUUGACUGGAAGUUACACCAUCGGCUCUCCUGGGCCUCCAGCUUGCAGAUAGCAAACCAUCAGACUUCAGAGCCUCUAUAAUUAUGUGAGCCAAUCCCUCAGAAUAAAU